AUUGAACGCUGGCGGCAUGCUUUACACAUGCAAGUCGAACGGGCUUGGGGGCUUGCUCCCAAGUUAGUGGCGAACGGGUGAGUAAUACAUCGGAACGUACCGUGUAGUGGGGAUAACGUAGCGAAAGUUACGCUAAUACCGCAUACGAUCUACGGAUGAAAGCGGGGGACCUUCGGGCCUUGUGCUAUACGAGCGGCCGAUGUCUGAUUAGCUAGUUGGUGAGGUAAAGGCUCACCAAGGCGACGAUCAGUAGCGGGUCUGAGAGGAUGAUCCGCCACACUGGGACUGAGACACGGCCCAGACUCCUACGGGAGGCAGCAGUGGGGAAUUUUGGACAAUGGGCGAAAGCCUGAUCCAGCCAUGCCGCGUGUCUGAAGAAGGCCUUCGGGUUGUAAAGGACUUUUGUCAGGGAGCAAAACUUACUGGUUAAUACCCGGUGAGGCUGAGAGUACCUGAAGAAUAAGCACCGGCUAACUACGUGCCAGCCGCCGCCGUAAAAC
rnacentral:rRNA from 1 species